CCUACGGGCGGCAGCAGUGAGGAAUAUUGGUCAAUGGUCGCGAGACUGAACCAGCCAAGUAGCGUGAAGGAUGACUGCCCUAUGGGUUGUAAACUUCUUUUAUAAGGGAAUAAAGUGUGGCACGUGUGCCCUUUUGUAUGUACCUUAUGAAUAAGGAUCGGCUAACUCCGUGCCAGCAGCCGCGGUAAUACGGAGGAUCCGAGCGUUAUCCGGAUUUAUUGGGUUUAAAGGGAGCGUAGAGGGGUUGUUAAGUCAGGUGUGAAAGUUUGCGGCUCAACCGUAACAUUGCAGUUGAAACUGGCAGUCUUGAGUACAGGAGAGGUAGGCGGAAUGCGUGGUGUAGCGGUGAAAUGCUUAGAUAUCACGAAGAACUCCGAUUGCGAAGGCAGCUUACUGGACUGCCACUGACACUGAGGCUCGAAAGUGUGGGUAUCAAACAGGAUUAGAUACCCGAGUAGUC
rnacentral:rRNA from 1 species